rnacentral:rRNA from 1 species
GAUGAACGCUGGCGGCGUGCCUAAUACAUGCAAGUCGAGCGAACAGAUAAGGAGCUUGCUCCUUUGACGUUAGCGGCGGACGGGUGAGUAACACGUGGGUAACCUACCUAUAAGACUGGGAUAACUUCGGGAAACCGGAGCUAAUACCGGAUAAUAUUUCGAACCGCAUGGUUCGAUAGUGAAAGAUGGUUUUGCUAUCACUUAUAGAUGGACCCGCGCCGUAUUAGCUAGUUGGUAAGGUAACGGCUUACCAAGGCGACGAUACGUAGCCGACCUGAGAGGGUGAUCGGCCACACUGGAACUGAGACACGGUCCAGACUCCUACGGGAGGCAGCAGUAGGGAAUCUUCCGCAAUGGGCGAAAGCCUGACGGAGCAACGCCGCGUGAGUGAUGAAGGUCUUCGGAUCGUAAAACUCUGUUAUUAGGGAAGAACAUACGUGUAAGUAACUGUGCACGUCUUGACGGAACCUAAUCAGAAAGCCACGGCUAACUACGUG